UGAAACUCCUUCCAGCUGUGUAGAUCUUUGAUGUCUGAAAAUACUCCUACAUGCAGACCAAUCAUCAGACCUGUUCCUCUCGAAUGCAUUGUGGGAUUGAGUUUGUUGUGUUUGGUGUGUUUCAGGGUCCUGUCGGAGGAAGCGGCAGCAGUGGAUUCCCAGGCUUGAGAGGCGAUCCGGGGCCCGAGGGACCCCGCGGCUUUCCUGGCAUUGUGGGACCUCAGGGCCUGACUGGAGGGGCGGGGCCUCCUGGAAUGAAAGGUGAUAAGGCUGAACCUGGACUGAGGGGUGACCCGGGAGAGACUGGAUAUCAGGGCGACAAGGGGACCGCUGGGAAUCCAGGUCCGACGGGACCACGCGGAAAACCAGGACCUCUCGUAAGACCCUCUGUGUUCAAUACAGAUACUGUUGAUUGUCAGGAAACCAGCAAAUCUGAGAGACUGAGCUCUGAUCUCUUGAUGUAUGUGUUUAUAUAUGAUGUUCAUGGUUGAUAUUCUCUCUCUGAAGGGGAAACCAGGAGACCCGGGACCACAGGGGCCUCCGGGGCCGCCAGGACCUGAGGUGAGAACCAGAGCUCAUGCACUGAUUUUGAGAGGACUGACAAUAAUUGUGUAGGUUAUGUUUAAACUAGCUGAAAGAUUUGGAGCAACACUUUUAUUAGAUCAGUGAUUAGAUCCAAACCUUCCUCAAUACAACAAAGCAUUAAUCAAUUUAGAGCUGUUUAUAGUCUCCAGUAAAUAGCCUGAAUUGUGUCUGUUUUGGAAGGCAUGUCUGCUUCCUUUUUUAUUUGGGUUAGUUAUUGCGUUUCUCUUUCAUUAAUUCAGAACAUGAUCCUCGCAGCUUUAUCAGAGUAAACGCAGAAGCAUCUGUGCAGCAAAUGGAUGAAACUCAUCCAGCGCAAGAGUUUAGCGUGUCGCGAGCUAGUUUGAUAGCAACUAGGUGGAUAGGAGGGUGCCCUCUAGUGGCACUUCUGUGUUAUUUCAUGCUCAUGUCAUGCUGUAGCUACAUUCCUGCCUGCAAAUUAAUGUAAUUAACAUUUCUAACGAACUGUUGUGGUCAGCAAGAACAUGACAUGACUUAUUUUUUUUUUACUUUUGUU
rnacentral:lncRNA from 1 species